UGAGCCAAAGGCAGAUGGUUAACUGACUGAGCUACCCAGGCACCCCUGUGAACUAUUUUUAAAUAUGCGGUUUAAACAAAUUAUUCAAUACAAUGUAAAAUAUAGCAACUGUUGUACUUAAAGUGGUAUGUAGAACAACAAAAACUGAUCUACAGACUCUUCUCUAAGAAGAAUCCCAAGGGAAUUGAAUGUGGAGCAGUGUGGAUUCAAGGAGCAAAAGGCCUCUUUAUUCCUUUUACAGUUGACCUUUGAACACUGUUUAAACUGCCCUUGUUCACUUAUACAUGGAUUCUUUUUUGAUGAAUACAGUACAAUACUGGUCCUUGAGAAGUAGUCCUUUGACUUUCAGUACAUCAUAAACAGAGGGCAGUAGUGGAAAUAUUUUCAGGAGAUAUUGCACAAGCAGGGACUAGAAUGGGAAGACCGCUUUCUUUGGGAAGCUGGAGAAGAAGCGCUUGACAGCUCCAAGGCUUGGAGCCAAACUAUUCCAAGAUCAUAAAGGAAAAGGGCUCCUUUCUCCCAGAAUUCGUUUCUUCUAAGGUCCAGAAGGCCCUUUGGAUGAGCCAAGCUGGGUUCCUGUGCCGACUCCUGUGGCCAGAAGAGUGGAGUCUUUGACCGGAGAAGGGAUGUCACACAGAACUGGAGAAACUGGGGACUGAUGAAAGACAGUGAUUGAUUUCUUCUGAGCAACACCCAAGGUUCAAUUGAGAUUCGAGAUCAUGGAUUCAGAGACCACACCACUAGAGGAAGGUGAGGCUGCGCAAAGGCUACUCGGUAUGUGUCCCCGGGACAGUGGAAAUGCUGUGCGUCACUGUAUGGUACACUCGAUGCAUAUAAAAUGAUCGGACCGUUUAAUCACUUUUAUCUUGAGCUGUUUCUAUGAAAUUCAUAUUGUUUUCUUUUGAAAAAAAAUUUUUAUUCAUUCUGUAUAAAUCAUUACCUGCAUGUUUUAUGUAUGUCUCCUAUAGAGUACAUCGUAAUGUUGUAGGAAACUGAUCAUUCUGAAAAUCUUCCA